GCUCUUCCCAUCUAAUGAAGUACAAUAAAUAGUCACUGCAAGUGGCCAAAAAGAAGAAAAAUCACUCUGC